rnacentral:rRNA from 1 species
AAUGAACGCUGGCGGCGUGGAUUAGGCAUGCAAGUCGAACGCGAAAGUUCCCUUCGGGGAGCGAGUAGAGUGGCGAAAGGGUGAGUAAUGCUUGGAUGACCUGCCCUCGAGACGGGGACAACAGUUCGAAAGGACUGCUAAUACCCGAUAGUCCGGUUUAGAUGCGUCUAGAUCGGUAAAUGGUGCUUCCGCUCGAGGAGGGGUUUCAAGUCCUAUCAGCUUGUUGGUGAGGUAACGGCUCACCAAGGCGAUGACGGGUAGCCGGACUGAGAGGUUGGCCGGCCACAUGGGAACUGAGACACUGUCCUGACUCCUACGGGAGGCUGCAGUCGAGAAUCUCUGCAAUGGGCGAAAGCCUGACAGAGCGACGCCGCGUGGAGGAUGAAGGCC